AGUGAACGCUGGCGGUAUGCCUAACACAUGCAAGUCGAACGGCAGCACAGUAAGAGCUUGCUCUUACGGGUGGCGAGUGGCGGACGGGUGAGGAAUACAUCGGAAUCUACUUUUUCGUGGGGGAUAACGUAGGGAAACUUACUCUAAUACCGCAUACGACCUACGGGUGAAAGCAGGGGAUCUUCUGACCUUGCGCGAUUGAAUGAGCCGAUGUCGGAUUAGCUAGUUGGCGGGGUAAAGGCCCACCAAGGCGACGAUCCGUAGCUGGUCUGACAGGAUGAUCAGCCACACUGGAACUGAGACACGAUCCAGACUCCUACGGGAGGCAGCAGUGGGGAAUAUUGGACAAUGGGCGCAAGCCUGAUCCAGCCAUACCGCGUGAGUGAAGAAGGCCUUCGGGUUGUAAAGCCCUUUUGUUGGGAAAGAAAAGCAGCAGGUUAAUACCCCGCUGUUCUGACGGUACCCAAAGAAUAAGCACCGGCUAACUUCGUG
rnacentral:rRNA from 1 species